AACGCACAUUGCGCCCCUUGGUAUUCCGAGGGGCAUGCCUGUUCGAGCGUCAUUAUAACCACUCAAGCUUUGGCUUGGUAUUGGGGUUUCGCGGUUCCGCGGCCCUUAAGAUCAGUGGCGGUGCCGUCUGGCUCUAAGCGUAGUAAUUCUCUCGCUAUAGGGUCCCGGCGGUGGCUUGCCAGAACCCCCCUAUUUUUCUACGGUUGACCUCGGAUCAGGUAGGGAUACCCGCUGAACUUAA
rnacentral:misc_RNA from 1 species